rnacentral:lncRNA from 1 species
AAGAGGAAGGUCAGCUCUGCUGAAGGGGCCGCCACAGGAAAAGCCUAACAGGAGGUCAGCGCUGUUGUCAGUGGGAGAGAUCUCUGAGCUUUGUCCGGAAAUCACUGAUUUUUUGUGCCGGGACAAGAAGUGCAUUGCAUCCCACCUUCUUUGUGACUAUAAGCCAGACUGCUCUGAUAGGUCUGAUGAAGCUCACUGUGCACAUUAUACAAGCACAACAGGAAGCUGCAAUUUUGAAACAAGUUCAGGAAACUGGACCACAGCCUGCAGUCUUACUCAAGACUCUGAGGAUGACUUGGACUGGGCCAUUGGCAGCAGAAUUCCUGCCAAAGCAUUAAUUCCAGACUCUGAUCACACGCCAGCCUGGGCAUGAAGAUUUUUAAGAAUUCUG